rnacentral:rRNA from 1 species
UACAGAGGUCCCAAGCGUUGUUCGGAUUCACUGGGCGUAAAGGGUGCGUAGGCGGUCGGGUAAGUCUGUCGUGAAAUCUCCGAGCCCAACUCGGAAACUGCGUCGGAUACUAUUCGGCUAGAGGAAUGGAGGGGAGACUGGAAUUCCCGGUGUAGCAGUGAAAUGCGUAGAUAUCGGGAGGAACACCAGUGGCGAAGGCGAGUCCCUGGACAAUUCCUGACGCUGAGGCACGAAAGCUAGGGGAGCAAACAGG